rnacentral:snRNA from 1 species
UUCGCUUCUCGGCCUUUUGGCUAAGAUCAAGUGUAGUAUCUGUUCUUAUCAGUUUCAGGCCAAAUGCUUUAUUCUUGUUUUGCAGUGCAUGCCAUUUAUAUAUAUAAUACCCAUG